rnacentral:rRNA from 1 species
GAGUUUGAUCGUGGCUCAGAUUGAACGCUGGCGGCAGGCCUAACACAUGCAAGUCGAGCGGAUGAAGGGAGCUUGCUCCUGGAUUCAGCGGCGGACGGGUGAGUAAUGCCUAGGAAUCUGCCUGGUAGUGGGGGAUAACGUCCGGAAACGGGCGCUAAUACCGCAUACGUCCUGAGGGAGAAAGUGGGGGAUCUUCGGACCUCACGCUAUCAGAUGAGCCUAGGUCGGAUUAGCUAGUUGGUGGGGUAAAGGCCUACCAAGGCGACGAUCCGUAACUGGUCUGAGAGGAUGAUCAGUCACACUGGAACUGAGACACGGUCCAGACUCCUACGGGAGGCAGCAGUGGGGAAUAUUGGACAAUGGGCGAAAGCCUGAUCCAGCCAUGCCGCGUGUGUGAAGAAGGUCUUCGGAUUGUAAAGCACUUUAAGUUGGGAGGAAGGGCAGUAAGUUAAUACCUUGCUGUUUUGACGUUACCAACAGAAUAAGCACCGGCUAACUUCGUGCCAGCCGCCGCCGUAAU